rnacentral:rRNA from 1 species
AUUGAACGCUGGCGGCAUGCCUAACACAUGCAAGUCGAACGGCAGCGCGGGGGCAACCCUGGCGGCGAGUGGCGGACGGGUGAGGAAUGCAUAGGAAUCUGCCCGGUUGUGGGGGAUAACGUAGGGAAACUUACGCUAAUACCGCAUACGACCUUCGGGUGAAAGUGGGGGACCUUCGGGCCUCACGCGAUCGGAUGAGCCUAUGCCCGAUUAGCUAGUUGGCGGGGUAAGAGCCCACCAAGGCGACGAUCGGUAGCUGGUCUGAGAGGAUGAUCAGCCACACUGGGACUGAGACACGGCCCAGACUCCUACGGGAGGCAGCAGUGGGGAAUAUUGGACAGUGGGCGCAAGCCUGAUCCAGCAAUGCCGCGUGUGUGAAGAAGGCCUUCGGGUUGUAAAGCACUUUUGUUCGGGAAGAAAUCCGUGUGGUUAAUACCCGUACGGGAUGACGGUACCGAAAGAAUAAGCACCGGCUAACUUCGU